UACGUAGGCAGCGAGCGUUGUUCGGAGUUACUGGGCGUAAAGAGUGCGUAGGCGGUUUUCUAAGUUUGGUGUGAAAUCUCCCGGCUCAACUGGGAGGGUGCGCCGAAGACUGGAAGGCUUGAGUAUGGGAGAGGUAAGCGGAAUUCCUGGUGUAGCGGUGAAAUGCGUAGAUAUCAGGAGGAACACCAAUGGCGAAGGCAGCUCACUGGGACGGUAUUGACGCUGAGACGCGAAAGCGUGGGGAGCAAACAGG
rnacentral:rRNA from 1 species